rnacentral:rRNA from 1 species
GACGAACGCUGGCGGCGUGCCUAAUACAUGCAAGUUGAGCGCUGAAGGUUGGUACUUGUACCGACUGGAUGAGCAGCGAACGGGUGAGUAACGCGUGGGGAAUCUCCCUUUGAGCGGGGGACAACAUUUGGAAACGAAUGCUAAUACCGCAUAAAAACUUUAAACACAAGUUUUAAGUUUGAAAGAUGCAAUUGCAUCACUCAAAGAUGAUCCCGCGUUGUAUUAGCUAGUUGGUGAGGUAAAGGCUCACCAAGGCGAUGAUACAUAGCCGACCUGAGAGGGUGAUCGGCCACAUUGGGACUGAGACACGGCCCAAACUCCUACGGGAGGCAGCAGUAGGGAAUCUUCGGCAAUGGACGAAAGUCUGAGCGAGCAACGCCGCGUGAGUGAAGAAGGUUUUCGGAUCGUAAAACUCUGUUGGUAGAGAAGAACGUUGGUGAGAGUGGAAAGCUCAUCAAGUGACGGUAACUACCCAGAAAGGGACGGCUAACUACGUG